GGGAAUGAUUGCGUGGCUGGUGCCCGCUACGGUCUUCAAAACCGUUGUCCCGAUUAUUAAAUCGGGAGCUGGGUUCGAUUCCCAGGCGUUCCCGCCA
rnacentral:tRNA from 1 species